AUCAAGCUGCAAGGGAUGUUAGGGAGUGACUGGUCAGCCCGGAAGACCGAGUGGCCUCUGUCCCCUUGAUCUAAAAUAACAGCCCUCCUCCCUUCUUCCUGCUUUGUUUCUCUUCCCAGCAGUGACUGCACACUUCCAGAGCCUAGAACAGACCGAGGACCGCUGUGAGGAUUACAGUCCGGGCCCGUUGCUGACAAUUCUCAACACUGCCACUACCUGCCUGGCCAUCCCAGAAGCUCAAAUAAACAGUGGCUGCAAUCGCUUUCAGGAAUCAUCUCAGAAGGAAGUCUUUAACUGCAGUCCUGAGACCAUGACUCGAAGUUUCCGGAACCUUUGAAAUUCUCACUGUUUAUUAUUUUUGUUACUCCCAUCUGUUUCCUGCAGCAAUGAACUCUUUAAAUGAAAA